UACGUAGGGUGCAAGCGUUGUCCGGAAUUAUUGGGCGUAAAGGGCUCGUAGGCGGUUUGUCGCGUCGGGAGUGAAAACCCAGGGCUUAACCCUGGGCUGGCUUCCGAUACGGGCAGACUAGAGGUAUGCAGGGGAGAACGGAAUUCCUGGUGUAGCGGUGAAAUGCGCAGAUAUCAGGAGGAACACCGGUGGCGAAGGCGGCAUUCUGGACCGAAACUGACACUGAGGCGCGAAAGCCAGGGGAGCAAACGGG
rnacentral:rRNA from 1 species